rnacentral:lncRNA from 1 species
AGUAAACACUUUUGAGUGUAUAGACUCUUGCUGCAUGAUCCCACUGUCAAUCUCUAUCUGUGAACCUGUAGUCAAUUCAGAGUUCCCCAGACUGGCGUUCUGUUACAGAGGGAGUUUAGAUUCAACUUCAAUUGCUUUUGGCAUCUUUGUCGUAAAAUAUUUGCCACCAGACCUGCCUUACAAGAGGUCCCAGAAGGAGUGCUAAAUAUAACCUGCCUUACAAGAGGUCGCCAAGAGAGUGCUAAACAUAGAAAGGAAAGACUGUUACCAGCCACUAUAAAAACACACUUUAAGUACAUGGACCACUAUAAAAACACACUUUAAGUACAUGGACUAUAAAGCAACCACACAAACAAGUCUGCAUAAUAACUAGAUAACAACAUGAUGACAGGAUCAAAUCUGCAUAUGUAAAAACUAGCCUUGAAUAUAAAUGGGCUAAAUGCCCAAUUAACAGUGAGUGGGCAGUUGGAUAAAGAAGCAAGACUCAACAGUAUGCUGUCUUCAAAAGACCCAUCUUAUAUGCAGUGAUGUCCAUAGGCUCAAAGUAAAAGGAUGGAGAAAAAUCUACCAAGCAAACAGAAAACAGAAAAAAGGAGGAGUUGCUAAUCUAAUUUCAGACAAAACAGACUUUAAGCCAACAAAGAUCAAAGAAGACACAGAAGGGCAUUACAUAAUGGCAAAAGCCUCAAUUCAACAAGCUGACCUAACAAUCCUAAAUAUAUAUGUACCCAACACAAGAACACCCAGAUUAUAAAGCAAGUUCUUAGAGACCUAUGAAAUGACUUAGAUAAUCACACAAUAAUAGUGGGAGAAUUUCAACACCCCACUGACAAUACUAGAUUAUUGAGGCAGAAAACUAACAAAGAUAUUCAGGACCUGAACUCAAUGCUUGACCUGAUAGAUCUAAUAGAUAUCAACAGAACUCUCUACCCAAAAACAAUUGAAUAUACGUUCUUCUCAUCUGCACAUGGCACAUACUCUAAAAUCAACCACGCAAUAGGCUUAAAACAGUCCUCAGCAAAUAAAAAAAAACUGAAAUUAUACCAACCACACCCUUGGACCACAGGGCAAUAAAAGUAGAAAUCAAGACUAAGAAUAUCACUCAAAACCACUUAAUUACAUGGAAAUUAAACAACCUGUUCUUGAAUGACUUUUGGGUAAAUAAUGAAAUAAGGGCAGAAAUCAAGAAAUUCUUUGAAACCAAAGCAAACAAAGCUACAAUAUACCAGAAUCUCUGGGACAUAGCUAAAGCAGUGUUAAGAGGGAAGCUUAUAGCACUAAAUGCCCACAACAAAAAGAAAGAUCUCAAAUUAAGAACUUAACAUCACAAACCAACCCCAAAGCUAGCAGAAGACAAGACAUAACCAAAAUCAGAGCUGAACUGAAGGAAGUUGAGAUGCAAAAAACCAUACAAAAGACCAAUGAAUCCAGGAGUUGGCCUUUGAAAGAAUUAAUGAUAUACUUCUAGCUAGACUAAUAAAAAAAGAAGUUCCAAAUAAAUACAAUCAGAAAUGACAAAGGGAACAUUACCACCAACUCCAUAGAAAUACAAACUCUCAGAAACUGCUGUGAACACCUCUAUGCACUCAAGCUAGAAAACCUAAAAGAAAUGAUACAUUUCUGGAAAUAUACAACCUCCCAAGAUUGAACCAGGAAGAAACUGAAUCCCUGAACAGAGAAUAUCUCUUGUAAAGAUGUCUUCAGAAUCUCAAUCUCCAGUGCUCCUUCUUUUAAGAACUCCAGGCAUGUCUUAACAGUAAUGUCCUCCUGGAGAUGAUACUGACAUUUUGAAAAACACUCCUCAAACAGAAAUCACCAUCUUCCUCUUUCAAAUCCUGUUCCUCCCUAGCCUGUACUCUCCAUAUGCUCAUCCAUUACUGAAGCUAGAAACUGCAUAAUUGUCAUUGACUCAUAUUUAGUACCUGUUGGCUUUGCUUCUUAAGAUAAAUUCCAAAUGGGGUUGCUGAA